rnacentral:lncRNA from 1 species
UCCUCAGGCCCCCCUGUGGACCGCACGUCGGCGCCGGCGUCUGAGCCAGCCGAGCUCGCCUCAGAGCCCGGCUCCUUCCCCUCAGCACUUGGCCGGAGCCCGCGCGGUUCCUCUCCUCAGCGCGCGUCGUCCCCUCAGGGCUCCCGGUUCUCGCAGUUGAUCAAAAAAUCGAGAGCCUUGGUUACAACCGACUUAUCCUGCAAAUUGGUAGAGGAACGGUGGUACCUGAACCCUUCAGUACUGAGUCGUUUACUCUGGAUGUUUACAGGUACAAGGAUUCCUUGAAAGAAGACAUUCAGAAAGCAGAUCUUGUUAUUAGUCACGCAGGUGCAGGAAGCUGUUUGGAGACUCUGGAAAAAGGAAAGCCACUCGUAGUGGUUAUAAACGAAAAGUUGAUGAACAAUCAUCAGCUGGAACUGGCAAAGCAGCUACACAAAGAGGGUCAUCUCUUCUAUUGUACCUGCAGCACGCUUCCUGGGCUGUUACAGUCAAUGGACUUAUCAACACUGAAAUGUUAUCCUCCUGGCCAGCCAGAAAAAUUUUCUGCAUUUUUGGAUAAAGUUGUUGGAUUACAAAAAUAAACACUAAACUCUCAACACUUUAAAAGCAACCCCCAAAUU